AGUAGGAAAUAACAGCAGCAACAACAGCUCACACAGACACACACCUCCUCCCCCUUUGACAAUUGACACCCCCUCCUCUUCCUUCCACGCGCGUUAGCGGGCCGCGCGGCGCCGCGCAUUGCUUCACCUCCGCUCCGCGCGGCUGAAACCGAAAAAAACCCAAUUUGGAUCGAAGCGGGGAGAGAGGACUUGAGGAGACGCGUCGUGGAGGGAAGUUUUUGAAAAAAAUUUUCCCCAACCCGCUGGGCGCGAUGCCGUCAUGAUCCCCCCCCUCGCCUCGCUGCCCAAAAAUUUUUCAAUCUCUCUCGCCCACAUUAAUCACCUUCCUCACGAGGCCAACGAGCAGAAAUCCCAUUUCAUCAUCAUUCAUACCAAUCCUCUCGGUUUCUUCCGCGUCCCCGGAUUCAGUUUCCUCCUCCUCUCCCCCCCUCUCGAUCCCUCCUCCUCUUCCCCUCGUUCCAGCGCGCUCGCCGUCGCCCGCCGCCGUCCGCCGACCAUGGAAGCAGCUGGAGUGGAGGUGAACGGAGGAGGAGGAGGCGACGUCGUGGUGGUGGUGCCGCAGCAGCAUGAGGUGGCGGCGAAGCAGGCGGCGGCGGCGGCGGCGGCGAAGGGGAAGUCCGUCGAAUCCAAGGGGGUCCGCGUCGUCGGCGGCCGGAUCUAUGAUCCGGAGAACGGCAAGACCUGCCACCAGUGCCGUCAGAAGACGAUGGACUUCGCCGCGUCAUGCCACAAGAUCAAGAAGAACAACAAGCAGUGCACGAUCCAGUACUGCCGCAAGUGUCUCUUUAACAGGUACGGCCAGGAAGCCGAGAAGGUGGCCAAUGACGGCACCUGGACUUGCCCCAAGUGCAAGGAUAUCUGCAAUUGCAGCUUCUGCAUGAAGAAGAAGGGGCUGCCGCCCACCGGAAUACUUGCCCAUGCUGCUAAGGCUUCAGGUUGUGCUUCGGUCCAUCAUUUACUGAAAAAGGGGAAAGAAGCGGUGGCUGCCGCGCAGAGGAGCACCCAGAAAGUGAGAUCUACACCUGUGAAGAAGAGCCCAAAGAGGGCCAUACAGCCAGAUGCUGCUGCUGAUGAACCUUUGGCUGAAGGGGAUGAGAAUGUAUGCAUUGAUUUCAAUGCUGCUCCAGUGAAGAAGCAGAAGAGAAGCAGGAAGGUGGGUAAUGGUGUGGCUCUGACGAAGGAUGAAAGCCCUGAUGCUCCCAAGGAACAAGUUGUUCUGCCCAAGGGCACUCCAGUCACUAGUGUUGCCGGUGCAGAGUGGGAGCCUGAAGAUGUUGGUCUUGCACUUCAGUUCUUCGAAUUCUGCCGCACAUUUGCUGAGAUUUUCCAAGUACGCAAGGGUCAACCAGAAAGAAUCCUUCGGGACAUAGCUGGAGGUCGUGGACUUCGAGUGGUGUCCUCAGUCAUCGCUGACUUCCACAUAACUUUGUUAUCCAUCAUCCAAGAAGGCCGAGGAAUCAAGCCUAUCACAUAUUCAAGAGAUAAUGAUGCAUGGAUUGUUGAUACUGGAAAAUGCAUAAGCGAGUCAAUCUUUGUCCCAGAGGGACUUCCCCUUGACUCCCUAAGUCAGGGGGUAUCGGGAUAUAAAAAUCUGAGCCCUUCUUGUAAGCUCAGUGUUCUGAACUUUUUGUGUGAUGAAAGUCUUUCUACUGAGAAGUUGAGGAGCUGCAUAUUAUCUGAAACAAAAAACCCCUCCAGAGAAAAAGCUCAUUCUGCAAAAGAGAAGGAGGAGCCAAAAGAAGAAACUAUAAAGAACACAGAUGAAGCAGUGCUUUUGAAAACUGAAGGAGCAGCUGUUGCUAUUGAGGAAGAUAAGAAUGGCAUUUCUCAACAAAAGGAUGUGAAAGAAGUAAAGAAUGCAGACACAAAUGAAAAGAAGCAUGGAGGUUUCCUUAGGACUAAUCCUUUCAUGGUAGACAAAAAGGUAAUCUAUUGGAAGCUGGAUGACUAUUGUAAUAACACAACAAUGAUGCUCCAAGAGGUUGAUGCUGAUGAUUUAAUGGGGAACAAAGACAAGUGGUUUAUGCUUAAUGAAGAUGAAAAGAAAAUAGUUGAAAACUAUUUAUCCACAAGGUAAGGAUUUCUCCAUAUCAAUUUAUUUGGAUUUAUUUUUAUCUAUUAUAAAUCAGGAAUGCAUGCUGAUUGGUAUGCUGGAUAAGUCACCAAAAUAUUUUGGUAGAAACACUAUUUGAUAUUUUAUCUGCAAACAAAAUUCGUGUUUUUAAUAAAAUUUUCCAAUGAUUGAACCACCUGUACAUUGUGAUGUACUUGAUGGGUAUAUCCUUUGAAGGAGCAUCCUAAGUAAUAUGCACUGGGGAUAUUAUUUCCUGAAAAUGUAGUGUAUUGUGAUUCCACAAAGCUCAAAUAUCUCAACUGAAUCAUUCCAAUAUGCUUAGUUAUGAUCAAGAAACUUUAGUAGCAUAAAAUGGUCGGUGAAGCACUUUGUCCAGACAUCUGACUAACUGAAGUGAUGUACUGCAUUAAAUAAAGUUUAUUUUAUAUAUCAUACUUGCAUUUUCAAUGUUCCAUGGCCAUAUUACUGGAUAUGGAUGAAUAUAUCUGUGUUUUUGUGUACCUCACUACUAUAACUUGCACUGUCCACACAUUUUCCUAGCUGAAGUGAUGCACCACAUUAAUUAAUUAUAGCUUGCAUUGUCCACAUAUUUUCCUAGCUGAAGUGAUGCACCGCAUUAGUUAAGAGUUUAUUUUGCAUAUCAAGCUAGUGGUUCCUUAUUUUCUACUUGACUGAAACUUUUGUAUAAUACAGGGUUUAGUAUGAUAAUUGAUAAUGAAGUGAGAUAUUGAGAUGUAACAUCUUUGUUCCCCACUAGUUUUAUGUUGUAAUUUCAGGAAAUAUUUUAAAAAAAUAAUCAAAAUUUGACAUCAGAAGUUUAGACGAGUAUGCAGAGAAUUACUGCCAAGAUUGGAUGACCAUCACUGGCUUAACUAUUAAGGAAUUAGUUUAUUUAUUACUAUCAUAAUAAUGCAAUCAGUUAUCUUUUUAAUAACAGAAUCCAAACUAUCAGUUCUGAUGUUUUCACUGUUGAUCUAAAGGUGCUAUACAAAUGUUUCAAGAAUCAAGAUUAUAUAGGUUACAAAAAAAUUGCCAUGUAUGUUGACAUGCUGAAGUUUCAUCUUGUCCUUGUGAUGAAUGCAAUGAUACUUGUUGCUCAUUGAUUAAAACUAACGUAUUAGCAUAUUCUACUUCCAACUUCUGAAAUAGCAUAUCAGUAACUUGUUAUCGCUUUCCUCAAUUGGCAAUGUUUUAAUACCUAAUAUUGCUUUCAAUAACUUUCUCUCUUUACUCUUAUAUCAGAUCACACAAGCUAACUAAGUUCACUUUGUUUUUGUCAACUCCAUGAAUAGUAGAAAUUGUCUUUGUCGACACAGUUUGUCACUGAUCUGACAUGUGAUUUUAACUGGUAAUACAGGCCUAAACGCAGGGGGAGAAAAGCUGCACAAUAGUCUACUGAUCAUACUCUCUAGGUUCCUCACCUGGCUGAAGGUGGGUGGACUAUGCUAGUUGAGAUAAGGCAACCUCUGUUGAGGCCAGAAGGGCCAUUUUUUGCUACAGAAAAUUUGCGCAAUUACAGAAGAACCAAGAAUUGUUGGAUCAUUCACAGAAAUUGAAUCAGAAGCUUGAACAAGUUUUGUCCAGAUGGCAAAGCCGGCAACUUUUGUAACACCUUUGCAGUUUCCUAGAUGAUACUGACGGAAAAUGUUUCAGUAUGAUCGCGUUAUACUGAAAUGUUGCACUAUAGCAAGAGUUUGCUAUAGUCAGUCAACCCCCGUUACCGUGGUGUGGUUAAAGUUAAACUGUUGUGUGUAACAUGUGACUGUCGAUAAUGACUAUCCAUCCAUUCAGUUCAGUGCUUUAGAUGCCUUUGAUUUUUCCCCCCUUCAGGGCUUUACUGGGUUAUCUGUGUUAGCUCACUUGCAGCACGGGUGACUUUCACAAACAAGUGACAAUGGCAAUUCCUUGCCUUGUCACAAUUGGAGAAAUUGACAUGAUUUUCCA